UUAAAACACAGCAAAAAAUGCAAAUAAUUUUAUUCUUAUUACAAUUCCAGUUAUAAAGAAGCACUUACAGUAUUGGCCGAAAGAAAAGCAACUUUUUUAAAUUUCAAAUAAUUUUUGUCCAGGGGGUUUACCACGAACCCGAGUGAGAUAUCACUUCUGAAAUCAACGUGGCAACAGCGCAUUUCGUGUUUAUAUUUGGUAAAUUUUAGGGGAAUUCAAAUUUUAGGUUAAUUUAUAUUUACAAAUUUAAAAUUUGACAUCCAAACAAAAUUCAUACAAGUGCAAAAAAUAAUGUUUAAUUAACUUGGAAUGGUUAAAGAAAGGUGUGCAAGUUUGAAAUGUUUUUCUAUCAAGAGUCCUUACAUAAAACAUAUUGAAGCAAAAGAUAAUCGCAAACAACUGCUUUGUUGGUAGGACACCCCGCUACAAUACAACAUAUUCAUUUAGUUGUUUAUGAGUUAAUAAGAUAUUUUUUUCGUGGUCAACAUGACGAAUGUUGAGCCAAAUAAACAACAUUUGUGGUCUGUGAUAUUUUUUUUGUUUAAUCAAAGAAAAAGGCAUAGGAAAGUGAUUAAAUUCUUGUCGAGACUUACGGCAAUCGUGCUGUAACCAUCAAGUGGCGAUUUCAAUGUUAUUGUCAAAGAAUACGAAAAUCGACCAAAGAAGUUUGAAGAUGAAUUACAAGUAUUAUUGGACAAACUUGAUAUACAAACACAACCAAUGGUGGCGGAGGAGUUGAAUGUUACUCGGUAAACCAUUUCCGAUCUCCUGAAAGCCAUAGAAAAGAUUCAAAAGGUUGGAAAAAGGAUUUCACACAAACUGAAGGAAUAACAGAUGGAAAAACGAAAAACUACGUGACAUGAUGCUUAUACGCCAUAACGAAAGGGUAUCACAAUCAAAAAUUAAUAUAUUUUGAAAUUUUCAAAGACAAAAAAUAAUGGGUAAUGGGUAACGCCAUCAACAUUGAGUGCGAGAUCGGAUA